UUGGGCAUAAAUAUUAUUUACUUUAAUCCUUAGAGUUUUGUGGCAAAAAAAAAAAAUCUGACAUUUGAUACAAAUUAUAAUGUGCAGAAAAUAUCAAGCAAAUGUCAAACAUUACCAUAAGAUAAAAUAGUCAUCAGGAAGAAAUUCAGAUGUGUCACAGAUAUUGGAAUUACCGGAUGGGGACUUAAAAUUAUCAAAUAGGGACUUUGUGUGGCUACAAUGUUAAGUAUGUGUAAUUGAUGAACAGAUGGAAAAUUGCAAUAGAUAGACGAAAACUAUAGAAAAUCCAAAAGAAAUGAUAGAAAUAAAAAAAUGUGUUAUGAGGCAAAUAAUUCCAUUAAAAGACUUAGAACAAACUCAACAGAGGAAAGGAUCAGCUAAAUAGACUAUAGUCCAAUAGAAAUUCACCAAACUGAAACACAAAGAGUGAAAAUAGUGAAAAAAUUGAGUAAAACCUCUGGGAUAUACAGGACAAUAUGAAACAAUCUAAUAUACACGCAAACUGAAUUCCUGAUGAAGAAGAGAGAGAGUGCAUACAAGUUCAUUUUAAUUGGUAAUGGCCAGAAUUUUAAAAAAAUUAUUGACCAACAAAAACUCACAUAUCCCAGAAGUUCAGAGAACCCCAAGAAGAAUAAAAAGAAAAGAAAAUAUACCUAGGUAUAUAUUAGUAAAAGUGCUGAAAACUGGAUUAAGAGAAAAUCCUGGAGGCAACCAGUGAAAUAAGAAACAUUAAUCAGAGAUGAACAAUGACAAGAUGUACAUCUUACUUCUCUUGAAAAAGAAUCGAAGACAAUGGAAUGGCACAUUUUAAAGUGUUGAAAGAUAAUGUAUACUUGGUCAAAGUAUUCUUUAAAAAUGAAGGUGCGUUGCCUUCUGGCUUCUGUUUCGGAUGUUAGAAAGCUGGAAGGAGCAUUACUCCCACACAUAUAACAACAAAAAUCUCACUGUAUGAUCUAAAACGUCACAACUGUUCUUGAACCCAUCAAAGAGUUGUGGUGGAAGGACAACCAACUAACCCCAAAUCUAAGGAAGACAAGUACAACUAAGAAGAAACAAGACAGGAAUGGUUGAGUCUGGGCUAGUGAGAAAACAUAAUACCCCUAUAAACCACAGGCACAAAGGACAUUCUCAAUCAUUUGGAGGGUGUUCUUCACAGACCUAAUCCAAUGCUCAAAAGAAAGAUGAGGGCCAGGGCGAGAGAUCUGAGGAAGCCUCCCUUUUGGUUCAGAGUUCAGGGAGGGAACAGCAGCUAUUGCUGGAAAAACGAAAAAUUUCACCUGAAUCCAUCUCUCCAAAGAAUAAAAGACUUAAGGUCCUUGGAAAAGAUUAAAAGAAAAAAAAAACACUCUAUCUCCCUUAGGGUACAAAUGAAAACACAAAAACUGGAAACAAUCAAGAUGUCCCUCAGGUGGAUAAUGGAUACACUGUGGUACAGGCAUACAAUGGCAUACUCUUCAGCAAUAAAAAGGAACAAAGUAUUGAUAUGGUGACAACAUGAAUAAAUCUGAAAUGCAUUAUGCUAAGUAAAAGAAGCUAGACUUAAAAAUUGAAUACUGCGUGAUUCAAUUUAUAUGACAUCAUUUAAAAGGCAAAAUUAUAGAAUAAAAAAUAAAUCAGUGACUGCCAGGGACUAUGGGUGACAGGACAGGUGACAACAACUGGGCAGAGAGUAAUUUUUGGGGCUGAUGGAAUGUUCUGUAUCUUGGAUAUGGUGGUGAUUAUAGGACUGGAACCGUUUGUCAAAACUCACAGAACUAUAUAAUAAAUAGGGUAAAUUUUAUUGUAUAUGUUUUUCAUUUUGUAAAAGGUGAAAAAAGAAAAUAUUGUUAUGAAGAUGAAAUACAUUUUAGAUAGGCAAAAAGGAAAAAGAUUCAUCUCCUUAAUCCGCACUAAAGGAAAUGAUAAAACAAGUUCCAUGUUGUUUAAUAUUACUUUAAUGGCUGUAUAAGUAGGGGUGUGUGUGUCAUCUUUUAAGUUUCUCCUAUAUUGAAUAUGUACCAUAACAUAUAUUUAUAGUCAUGAAAAUUUAAACAAAUAUAUAUAUUUAUAAUCAUAAAAAAUUAAACAAAUUAGGAGAAUAUUAAAACAUGGUUAUUUUUUCCAACUCGGUCUGCUUUACUCUAGACCUCCUGUGCCUGCUGUCACUCUUAUUCCAAGGACACUCCCGCAUCUGCCGCUUUCCUCUUUGUGUCUUCAUUCCCAAAGGCUCUUUCGUGCUUACUUCACUCCUGCAGAAAACACGCAGAGAAAGAUAACAAAGUUUAAUUAUCCAUUCUCCAGAUGUUUCUGACAGCUUAUAUUGUCCCAAAUAUUUUCACCAAAACCUCUUCCUAUCUGGUGAACCUUACAACACUUCCUUUCCUCACAUUGUUUGAAUUACUUCCUUAACUGUCUCCUACACCUAUGUUCACAAAC
rnacentral:lncRNA from 1 species